rnacentral:rRNA from 1 species
ACUAGGAAUUUUGCGCAAUGGGGGCAACCCUGACGCAGCGACACAGCGUGGAGGAAGAAGGUCUUCGGAUUGUAAACUCCUUUUAUAUGGGAAGAAUAGAUGACUGUACCAUAUGAAUAAGCACCUGCUAACUACGUGCCAGAAGCAUCGGUGAUGCGUAGGGUGCGAACGUUAUCCGGAUUUAUUGGGCGUAAAGAGAUGCGUAGGCGUUUCAGUUAGUCUUUCGUUAAAGAUCACGGCUUAACCGUGAAAAAGCGUUGGAUACUGCUGAAAUUGAGACAUGAAGGGGUGAACGGAACUCCAAGUGGAGCGGUGAAAUGCGUUGAUAUUUGGAAGAACAUCGGAGGCGAAGGCGGUUCACUGGUCAUUGUCUGACGCUAAGGCUCGAAAGCGUGGGUAGCAAAACGGAUUAGAUACCCGGGUAGUCC